GUAUAAUGUACAUUACAGAAUAGAUCAUCAUUAUUAAUAUCAGCAAUGAAUAUAUACAAUAGAUGACAAAAGAUUAAACAAAAAAUUUCAUUAAACUAUUUAAAUCUUUCUAUUGAAAUUGUUUCAACAGAACUUCAAUAAUAGAUCAACAAAGAAGCAUUUCUGAUGAACUAAAAUAUUGUACAUAUUUAAAAAAAAAGAAUAUGGCAUGUAAAUGUUAUUAAGAGAGUUGGACUGCAAGGAUUAAAUAUGUUUUCUGAAUCAGAUGUCAACAACAAGCCUACACCUUUGUAACUGGUGGGCAAUACUCAAAGAAGAGGAAAGAGAAUACACACUAACAAUCAGAUAUUGUAUUCAGGAAUAGUAGAUAAAUGACACUAUCAGUUUCCUCCACAGUUAUUUUUUUCAUACAUAUAUGCUUCUUAUAUAACUCUGAAAUCAUAUAUUCUCAUACACUCAUCCAUCUUUUCUCUCCAUUAUUUCCAUGCUUUAGUCUUCUACAUUUACAAUCCAUGCACCCAGCAUACGAUCUACUUUGUAAAUUAUUCUCCACUCACUUCCUCUGCACAAUCAAACUAUUUCAAAGUUGAUUUGCACACUAUCCAUUCCAUUCCUUUUCAUUCUACAAUGCUUUUAUACUUCAGCUAUAAAACAAACAAGCUAUUUAAAUGACA
rnacentral:lncRNA from 1 species